GGGCCCGUAGCAUAACUUGGACAAUGCACCUCGCUUCGGACGAGGGGACUAGGGGUUCAAAUCCUCUCGGGCUCG
rnacentral:tRNA from 1 species